ensembl:lncRNA
GUUUCAGUGCCUGGCCCGAGGCCGCCCCCUCGGAGAGGCUCCUGACCCCCCGUCCAAACCAACUCCAGCCCCCUUAUUCAGCUGGCGGCUCCAGAGGGCCACGACGGGGGCUGCGUCUGUUCAGUGCUCGUGGGUCUCCCUCACCAGACUGUCAGCUCCAGGAGGGCAGGGGCCUUCGUGUGGUCUUGUUUGCUGCUGCAGCCCCAGCACAGGAUGGAUGCUCAGCAAAUCUGUCGAUCUUUAGGUCGUGUCCGACUCUUGCAAUCCCAUGGACUGUAGCCCGCCAGACUCCUCUGUCCAGGGCCCAGGAUUGCUUUUAUGAAUGAGGCUGCUGUUUAAAAAAGCUGCAUCACAGCCACCGUUUUGAGCGGGGCUUCUGAGGAUGACCCAAGAUGGUUCUGUGCCUCUCUCCCACCGCCUUAAAGUACCCUGGGGUCCUCUGACUUUCUCCCCAAGGGCCGCCUGCUGCUGCCUGGAGCCAUGCUCCCACUGCAGGAACAAGCCGGCGGGCUCCUCGCUGAGCAGCUCAGCUGCAGGCGUGGAAGCCGGUGUUCCUGUGAACUGUGUGGCCGUCUGAGAGGAGCAGCCAGCUGCAGGAGGCUGGCCGGCUGCUGGAGGAGGGACCCAGCACAGCGUGGGGCAAGGGUGCAGACCACACACCCGCCUGGCCUUCAGCUUUGCAAGUCCAGAAACAGCGGGUGCUCUAGGGCGCCUUCCACCUACUCCCACUCAUUAAGCCCACAGAGGCCCUUGCUUAUACUUCAUGCCAACUUCCAUUUAGAAUGGAAGCCAUCCCCCAGCGUCCCUUACCCAGGGACCCAGUCCCAGUGCCACGAUGCUUGUAAAGUGGAAGUGGUUGCUUGGUGAGAAUGGACUUGGAAGAGAGAGAGGAAAGCCUCAAGAAGGUAACUAUCCAAACCCUGGAAAAGCUCUGCAUCUUCUGGUCCCGUUCCUGAGCCACCUCCAGGGCUGAGACCACCACGUGUCUCAUACACCACAGCCACAUACACCUGCCCUGGAAAAGGCCGGGCCUGCUCUGCAACCAUUCAUUUCCAUUCAUGAUGACCUUGCCGAGGCUUUGGACACCAUAAAAGAUCAAGUGGGUUUUCAGUUUAGUCUGUAUGAUAGAAACUGCUUAUCUUCCUGAGUGUUUUUCCCACACUUAGAGUUCUGGGGACACUCUCCUGUUACCCUAUGCAUCACCUGUCCUAACUUCUUCCAGAAAGGCAAAGAGUGGGCUUAUG